CGCCUGCGCUGCAUUCCAGAAAGGAGCAUGGGUGGAACGAAGAGCGUUAAGGAAAGGCAUCGGGUGGUUGAGGGAACGGAGCCACAAAUCAAGCGGCGUGUGCAGCCGUAAACCCCGGCCGCAUGAUCACCGUGAACGGAGAGCCGCGAUCGGAUGCUGCUGGCCUGCUGCCACAGAUCUUGCUUGCUAUAUUAGUAUGGAAAGAUAUGGAUUAUUGGAGAGGAUUUAGUAUCAGAUCAUGCAGCCCAUAGAAGGCUCUCUGAGUUUCUGCGCAUAUAGGCGGAGCACACCAUUCCUCUCGCCCCUCGAAGAACACCAUUCCUCUCAUCCCUCCAAGAGCACUGCGUCCAGAGCUUCACCUCGCCUUGAACUGGGUCAACGCAGGUUGGGGCGUCAGGUCAGCUCCGGAAAUGGCUGCGAUGACACGCGCCUUGCUGCUGCUGUUCGCACUGGCCAUACGGUCAGCAGGAGGACAGCAACGCGUCCACAACGUCAUCGACUUCCACGCGGCCGGGGACGGCAAGACGGACGAUGCGCAGGCGUUCCUGGGGACAUGGCAAGCGGCUUGCAGCGACGCGGGCGAGCCGGUCAUGGCCGUCCCCGGGGA